CGGGGGGGGCAAGCGUUGUUCGGAUUUACUGGGCGUAAAGGGCGCGUAGGCGGCCACCGCAAGUCGACUGUGAAAUCUCCGGGCUUAACCCGGAACGGUCAGCCGAUACUGCGGGGCUAGAGUGCAGAAGGGGCAACUGGAAUUCUCGGUGUAGCGGUGAAAUGCGUAGAUAUCGAGAGGAACACCUGCGGCGAAGGCGGGUUGCUGGGCUGACACUGACGCUGAUGCGCGAAAGCUAGGGGAGCGAACGGGAUUAGAUACCCCGGUAGUCCUAGCCUUAAACGAUGAAUGCUUGGUGUCUGGGGUUCUAUAGUCCCCGGGUGCCGUCGCUAACGCUUUAAGCAUUCCGCCUGGGGAGUACGGUCGCAAGACUG
rnacentral:rRNA from 1 species